GACGAACGCUGGCGGCGUGCUUAACACAUGCAAGUCGAACGGAAAGGCCCCUUUUGUGGUACUCGCGUGGCGAACGGGUGAGUAACACGUGCGUAACCUGCCCUUGCCUUCGUGAUAACUUCAGGAAACUGGGUCUAAUACCUGAUAGGAAUCCUUGCUUCAUGGUUGGUGUUGGUAAGCUUGGGGGGUUUUGGAUGGACUCGCGGCUGAUCAGCUUGUUGGUGGGGUAGUGGCUUACCAAGGCUUUGUCGGGUAGCCGGCCUGGGAGGGCGACCGGCCACAAUGGGACUGGGAUAAGGCCCAGAACUCUACGGGAGGCAGCAGGGGGGAAAAAUGCACAAUGGGCGGGAGGCCGAUGCCGCCAAGGCGCGGGCGGGAUGACGGGCUUCGGGGUGGUAACCGCUUUCAGCAGGGGCGAAGCUUGUGGUGACGGUACUUGCAGAAGAAGCACCGGCUAACUACGUG
rnacentral:rRNA from 1 species